GGGAUAGAAUUCCAGGAGUAGCGGUGAAAUGCGUAGAUAUCUGGAGGAAUACCAAAGGCGAAGGCAGUCCCCUGGUCCGAUACUGACACUGAGGUACGAAAGCGUGGGGAGCAAACAGGAUUAGAUACCCUGGUAGUCCACGCCCUAAACGAUGUCGAUUAGCCAUUGGAAGGACCCCUUUUCCUUUCAGUGACGUAGCUAACGCGUUAAAUCGACCGCCUGGGAAGUACGACCGCAAGGUUAAAACUCAAAGGAAUUGACGGGGACCUGAACAAGCGGUGAAUGAUGUGGAUUAAUUCGAUGCUACGCGAAGAACCUUACCUACCUUUGACAUGGCCAAAGUUCUACCGAGAGGCGGAAGUACUCGUAAGAGGAUUGGCGCACAGGUGCUGCAUGGUUGUCGUCAGUUCGUGUCGUGAGAUGUUGGGUUCAGUCCCGCAACGAACGCAACCCUUAUCUUUAAUUGCUCCUAUUUUAACAGGCACUUUAAAGAAACUGCCAAUGAUAAGUUGGAGGAAGGUGGGGAUCACGUCAAGUCCGCAUGGCCUUUAUAGGUAGGGCUUCACAUGUCAUACAAUGGUUAGAACAAAGAGCUGCAAAUUCGUAAGAAGGAGCCAAUCUCACAAACCUAACCUCAGUUCGAAUUGCGGUCUGCAACUCGAGCGCAUGAAGCCGGAAUCGCUAGUAAUCGUGGAUCAGAAUGCCACGGUGAAUACGUUCUUAGGUCUU
rnacentral:rRNA from 1 species